rnacentral:rRNA from 1 species
AGAGUUUGAUCCUGGCUCAGAAUGAACGCUGGCGGCGUGGAUUAGGCAUGCGAGUCGCGCGAGAAUGUAGCAAUACAGGAAAGCGGCGAAAGGGAGAGGACAGCAUGGGAAUCUGCCCGGGGGACGAGGAUAGCGUCGGGAAACUGACGGUAAUACUCGAUAAUGUUUGCGGACCAAAGGUGUGAUUCCGCCCCUGGAUGAGCCCAUGCCCCAUUAGCUUGUUGGCGGUGUAAUGGACCACCAAGGCUGUGAUGGGUAGCUGGUGUGAGAGCACGACCAGCCUCACUGGCACUGAGACACUGGCCAGACACCUACGGGUGGCUGCAGUCGAGAAUCUUCGGCAAUGGACGAAAGUCUGACCGAGCGACGCCGCGUGCGGAUGAAGGCCUUCGGGUUGUAAACCGCUGUCGUAGAGGAUCAAAGGUAUUGGGGUUCUCCCCUUUAUUUGAGUGAUUCUAGGAGGAAGGAGAGGCUAAGCUCGUGCCAGCAGCCGCGGUAAGACGAGCUCUCCAAACGUUAUUCGGUAUUACUGGGCUUAAAGAGUUCGUAGGCGGCUUUGCAGGUGGGGUGUGAAAGCCCUCGGCUCAACCGAGGAAUUGCGCCCCAAACCGUAAGGCUUGAGGGAUAUAGGGGUAAGCGGAACAGAUGGUGGAGCGGUGAAAUGCAUUGAUAUCAUCUGGAACACCGGUGGCGAAGGCGGCUUACUGGAUAUUUACUGACGCUGAGGAACGAAAGCUAGGGUAGCGAACGGGAUUAGAUACCCCGGUAGUCCUAGCCGUAAACGAUGAGCACUAGUCUGAAGGACUCUCACAGUCUUUCGGACGUAGCGAAAGUGUUAAGUGCUCCGCCUGGGGAGUAUGGUCGCAAGGCUGAAACUCAAAGGAAUUGACGGGGGCUCACACAAGCGGUGGAGGAUGUGGCUUAAUUCGAGGCUACGCGAAGAACCUUAUCCUAGUCUUGACAUGCUUAAGAACCUGACUGAAAGGUUGGGGUGCCCGCAAGGGAGCUUUUGCACAGGUGCUGCAUGGCUGUCGUCAGCUCGUGUCGUGAGAUGUCGGGUUAAGUCCCUUAACGAGCACAACCCCUACUGUGUGUUGUAUCACUCACACGGGACUGCCGAGAGAAACUCGGAGGAAGGCGGGGAUGACGUCAAGUCAGCAUGGCCCUUACGUCCUGGGCUACACCCACGCUACAAUGGCCGGUACAACGGGCUGCGAAACCGCGAGGUGGAGCCAAUCCCUUAAAGCCGGUCUCAGUUCGGAUCGCAGGCUGCAACUCGCCUGCGUGAAGCCGGAGUUGCUAGUAACCGCCGGUCAGCAUACGGCGGUGAAUAUGUUCCCGGGCCUUGCACACACCGCCCGU